GAAGUCGUUAAUUUGUGUCAAACUCCUCCAUUAUGUUUCAAGGAUAUUAUGCAUUUUUCCCUAUGAAUGAGGAAAAGAAAAUGAGCAGUGGAGCUGCUGGAGGUCUGAUCUGGCACUGUCUCCAAGCCACUGCAGAGCUUCCAGCUGACCUGUGUAUUACUCAGUGGAAGGUAAAUGAAAUGCUUUACUUGAGAGCUGAAUAUGACGUUUCUAUGUCAUGGAAACUGUCUCAUAAAACUGGUUAUUAAAUGGAUUCUUAGAAAAGCCCAAUAAACAGAACUGGCAAUUUUACCCAUUCAAGAAGGAAAUGAGUCAGUGACGGUGUGAAAAAGUAAAGGAAUGACAGGGAAGCUUCAUCACAGUAUGCUGAGGGUCUUCUGAAAGAAGAAAUCAUUUGUUAAAAGUUUUAAGUUUGAAUUAACUAAAAUAUAGGAUUCUGACAUAAAGUUUUUUUUUAGCGGGGCGGUGACUGUAUCUGGUUGAAGGCAGAUAACAAAGACUGGUACAACGGUCAUAGGGAGAACCACCAGCUGGGCCAGAUAAGGCCUGAAGGUGGCCUAAGCUCUCUAAGAGCAUGCGCAAGGAGGGAAGGUGAAAUGUUCCAUGCGAGUAAGACUGCCUGCCUUCGUCCCCAAAGACCCCAUCGACCAUUACCACGAGAAAACGCACAAGUGCUGAGAGGAGAAGACCUAUGAUAAUGAAUUCCCGGAAUUAAUCUUACUAUGAUAAUGAGUUCCAGGGACUAAUCUUACUAACCCUACCCACUUCUUGGAAAAGUUAUGACUGUGUAUGUUAGCGCCAUGCAUAUGUAUAACACAGCACAAUAAAAAUGAACCGGCUUUGACACGUGCUGUGCAAGCUUGGAGGAAAGAUCCCCCUUGCACCCUGUGCACAGCCACAUACCUGCACCUAACUCUGCGUUUGGUGUCAUUACUCCGUGAGUCACUUCCCCACUAUGCUGGGAAGGGGACCUGUUUUUCUGUCAAGAUUGCAAGUAGAAAUCACUGGCUGGAGAAACAGUGAAACUUAUGCUUGAUGAAAUGGAACCUUAAAACCAGCAUAAAUAGAGCCACUCAAAAAUACUGAAAUGAAGUUUUAAAAGGCAUUAGUGCAUUCCAGAUUCAGCACCAGCAGCUGAAUUUACAUCCUGCAGAAAAGCAGCCGCAGAGGUGGAAACUGAGAAAAUGCUGUUAGAGAUGGGAGUGCUGAGCCAAAGGAGCCCCAGGAGGGUGAUAGCAUUGCUGAAUGUUUCAGGAUAAUCCUUGAGGACUUUGAGUUUCUUUCAGUCCCUUCCAUGCAGAAAGAAAAGAGUUAAUAAAUAUUGUUAGUGCCUAGGGAAUUGUUCACACGGGAUCUUUUGGAACAGUAAUCUUCAUAUUUAGAAGUAUUUUCUCAUUACGGGUAAUAGGAUGAUGAACUGAGGGAUGAUCUCAGCCACUUAUGAUUCUAAAAGCCCCUAGCCUGAAUAAUCUAUGCCGAUUUAGAAAUAAUAACAUCAAAGACAUAACUCAUUUAGCACAAUGUCCAUUUACUUACUCUGAAGACUUUUACUAUCCUGCACCUAUUUUAUAGACACUUGUAAAAAGUUGAUAAUGAUAUAAAAUGAAUAACGUAAUAAUAAUAAAAAAAAGAUAAGUGUGCAGUGGGAAGUUCUCUGCCCAGGACUGAGCAACACACAUACCAAACCUGCUCCUAAUGAAGUGCAAUACAAAUGCUAAGAGAGACGAAAAAAUACAGAGCAUUCCCAUUCUGCACCCAUUAAAGUAAAACAAACUGACAGUGAGGAUGGUUUUGUGUGCAAGACACUGUGGCAGCACUUAGAAGAUGAUAGUUGCACAUUCCCUGUGCCAAGGAGAGUGCUUGUUGCUUCACUGCUGGGUUUCUCUUUGGUAAGGAAGCGAUUCUGAGCCUUGAUUUCACUGCUGCACCUGCUUAGUCUCUACGCUUUUGGAGGCAGAAGUCAUCUUUUAUCACAUCUCUGUGCAGGAUCCAGAAUAACUGCAUCUCUGCUGUGGUCUCUGCGUUCUCCUAGGACACACGUGCUAGCACUAGCAGAGGCAGCUGUCCCUAAUUGCUCAGGAUCACAGCCAACAGUUUCCCCAUUUUACUUCCAAGUCCUCAUGACUGUAACAUCUUAUUGUCAGGGAAAAUGUUUUCCCACGCACGGGACAACAAAUGUCAGACCACCUGAGAAACACUCUUUUCCUACCCUUUCCCUUCGGUUCUCUCUCCUCUUCAAAAGGUGAUGAUGAGCUCUUUAAAUGCCCACUGGAGCAUCAUAAAUCAUCUUCCACUUUUUGUUUCAUGUCAUAGAGGUUUUGCUUCCAUGUGUCCCACUGAUUUUAGGCAGUUUUUGUAUCUCCCAAGAGCAUCACUGCAGGGGUUACUCAUGAACCGCGUCAUACUGGGUGACUUGCGUUCAGGCAUAUGGACAACGGAGUCAACACUUGCAGCACUGCAGUAACUGGUGACAAGUGUUUGACAUAUGAAAGGAGGGACAUAGAGAAAGGACGUUGUGAUUUAACUUUGCCUCUGCAUUUUUAGGACAGAGGUGACAUACAGCUGAACCAAUGCAAUGCUGCAACAGGGCCAGUCCUCAUCCCUUCUCUCCUCCACUCCCAAAUGUACACUUCCAGUGGAAAUACUAAACUAACAUUGUCCUUGAAAAAUGUCGGUCUCCUUUCUAACUGAUUCUUUCAAUAUGGAUUUUAUCACAUACUUCUUUCCUCUAACCAAGUCAUUUGUCAUACAAACACAGCCUUUCCCUCCCAGAUCAGAAGCGAAGAGCAGGCUGGUGGUGUGAUGUGUGCAUGAACAGCAGCUGAUCUCCCCCUCGCUUAAUACCUUGAGGUUUUACGUUCUUCCACUGCAUUUUUUCCUGUGCUGUUUCCUCCUGCGCUGAGACCUUCUGCAGUUACAUUCCUAUUUGAUUAUGUAAUAAACCCAUGAAUUAUUAACAGUAUAUAAAAUAUUGACAAACUGUUCUCUGAGAUAGAACAGCUUUAAAGUAUUGAUUAUGAAUCCAGAGAAUUAUAAUUAGUUUCUGUGUAAGAGAUAAUUAAGUUAUUAUUGUUUCUCUUUCUUCUAAUAUGGUGAUGUAUGGAGGGUAUUUAUACUGAACACUAUGAAAUCUUAUUAAAAUUAAGGCGCAAUAGGUUUAUGGGCACUCAAGAUAAUGGCAAAAUAAAGCAUGAUGAAGAAGCAUUUGUGUUUUCAAAGAUCUCAGCUGGCAACGUCCCCUUGUUGUGGAAAGAUAUAAUUUCAGGUUUGCUCUGGUGAAACUCCUGGGCACAGGGAUGUGAUUGGCCUCAACAGAGCCAGAAUCUCCUUUCAGUUUGGUUUCACCAGAAAUCAAACCAACGCGACUGCGCUUUGUGCACGUUUUGAACCUAGAGGCUGACUCCAGUCAAAUUUGUCUGGGAGGCAGCCUUAGAGGUACUUAGAUUCUAUAAGUUUUAUACACAUUUGUUGGCAAAACCAUUGCAGUGUUAGUUUAGCUCUCGUUAGGUGUCAGAACAGGAGAGGGUUCAAUAUCAAGGGAAAAUGAUGCUGUUAACUACUUUUUAUAGGUUCUGCUGCUCCAAAGUGAUUUGUGCACCCCUAAAAUUAGAUAUUUUUGCUACAACAUUAUGCCAUAUGAAAACCUAGUUUUCUUCAGUGGAAUUUACUGUAUGGGUAGAGCAUUCCCAGCCAGGACUGGGCAACAGAGACUCAUCCUGCCUAACUCCGUGCAUUUUCCAGUGCUCUGCUGUGGAAUCCUACUCCCUCCACAGUAAACAGGAGUGAGGGUUUUCUUCUAAGAUGUAAUCCAUCUGACCUGCUUUGGGUGGAGACAAAUCACUGUGGGCAUUUAAAGUUAGGCAAAGUGAAUCCUGUCUUUGGAGUGUGGUGUUGCAGAGGAGCUAAUAUAAAUGUCAGGUGUAAG